AUCGCAAAUCUCUCGCAACAGUUG
rnacentral:siRNA from 1 species